CAGUAGCCGCAGGAAUACGGAGGAUCCGAGCGUUAUCCGGAAUUAUUGGGUUUAAAGGGUGCGUAGGCGGAUAGAUAAGUCAGUGGUGAAAGACGGUGGCUCAACCAUCGCAGUGCCGUUGAUACUGUUUAUCUUGAAUAUGGAUGAGGUAGGCGGAAUGUGGCAAGUAGCGGUGAAAUGCAUAGAUAUGCCACAGAACACCGAUUGCGAAGGCAGCUUACCAAGGCAAAAUUGACGCUGAGGCACGAAAGCGUGGGGAUCGAACAGGAUUAGAUACCCGUGUAGUCCCUGUCUCUUAUAC
rnacentral:rRNA from 1 species